GGCGCGAUGGCCGAGUGGUUAAGGCGACAGGCUUAAGUGUUUGGAGAGUCCUGUUGACGAAAGUCUCGCGAGGUAAGGCAAACUAUGCUGUGAUGCGAAGUCGAUUAUAACUAACAUGAAUACAGUUCGAACCUCGCUCGCGUCA
rnacentral:tRNA from 1 species